UACGUAGGCAGCGAGCGUUGUUCGGAAUUACUGGGCGUAAAGAGUGUGUAGGUGGUGUCGUAAGUUUGGUGUGAAAUCUCCCGGCUCAACUGGGAGGGUGCGCCGAAGACUGCGAUGCUGGAGUAUGGGAGAGGAAAGCGGAAUUCCUGGUGUAGCGGUGAAAUGCGUAGAUAUCAGGAGGAACACCUGCGGUGUAGACG
rnacentral:rRNA from 1 species